rnacentral:rRNA from 1 species
UACGUAGGGUGCGAGCGUUGUCCGGAAUUACUGGGCGUAAAGAGCUCGUAGGUGGUUUGUCGCGUUUGUCCGUGAAAUUCCCUGGCUUAACUGGGGGGCGUGCGGGGCAGACGGUCGGAGACUGGAGUACUGCAGGGGAGACUGGAAUUCCUGGUGUAGCGGUGGAAUGCGCAGAUAUCAGGAGGAACACCGGUGGCGAAGGCGGGGUCUCUGGGCAGUAACUGACGUGAGGAGCGAAAAGCGUGGGGAGCGAACAGG